rnacentral:rRNA from 1 species
GAUGAACGCUGGCGACGUGCCUAAUACAUGCAAGUCGAACGCUGAAGGAGGAGCUUGCUCUUCUGGAUGAGUUGCGAACGGGUGAGUAACGCGUAGGUAACCUGCCUGGUAGCGGGGGAUAACUAUUGGAAACGAUAGCUAAUACCGCAUGACAACAGUUAUUGCAUGAUAACUGUUUAAAAGGGGCAACUGCUCCACUACCAGAUGGACCUGCGUUGUAUUAGCUAGUUGGUGAGGUAACGGCUCACCAAGGCGACGAUACAUAGCCGACCUGAGAGGGUGAUCGGCCACACUGGGACUGAGACACGGCCCAGACUCCUACGGGAGGCAGCAGUAGGGAAUCUUCGGCAAUGGACGGAAGUCUGACCGAGCAACGCCGCGUGAGUGAAGAAGGUUGUCGGAUCGUAAAGCUCUGUUGUAAGAGAAGAACGAGUGUGAGAGUGGAAAGUUCACACUGUGACGGUAGCUUACCAGAAAGGGACGGCUAACUACGUG